GCCCUUCAAUUCUUAACUCCCCUCGCCUAUAUCUAAGGGGUCCGGCUUGACCGGACUAUGGCGAUAAACGGCUGUGUAAUAAGCGGACCGGACCCGGGGGCGGUACCCGGCGCCUCCACCACAAGCCCAUCCGGCCUCUUCAAAUGAGGCGGGAUGGGUUUCUGUGGGGGCGAAACAGGAUCGACGGACGUGUAAAGGCAGACCUUUUGCCCGGUAUUGUAUCCGCCGUCAUCGGGCUACUCGUACAGGUGCCAACGAUAACGAAAUGGCCCUCGCUGCCUAAUUAAUUAGGUAAGCGCGGUUUCGGUGGGUGCACCGAGCAACAGAAGCACCCACC
rnacentral:tmRNA from 2 species